rnacentral:rRNA from 1 species
UACGUAGGGGGCAAGCGUUAUCCGGAUUUACUGGGUGUAAAGGGAGCGCAGACGGCUUGGCAAGUCUGAAGUGAAACCCCGCAGCUCAACUGCGGGCUUGCUUUGGAAACUGCUUGGCUAGAGUGUCGGAGGGGUAGGCGGAAUUCCUAGUGUAGCAGUGAAAUGCGUAGAUAUUAGGAGGAACACCGGUGGCGAAGGCGGCUUACUGGACGACAACUGACGUUGAGGCUCGAAAGCGUGGGGAGCAAAC